rnacentral:misc_RNA from 1 species
UCCCCGUUGGCCGGGGCAGUCUCGCCUGAAAUAUACAACAGACGACAAGGGUUGCGCUCGUUGCGGGACUUAACCCAACAUCUCACGACACGAGCUGACGACGGCCAUGCAGCACCUGUCACCUGGCUCCCGAAGGCACGGCCCUGUUUCCAGGGCCUUCCAGGGAUGUCAAGGCUUGGUAAGGUUCUUCGCGUAGCUUCGAAUUAAACCACAUGCUCCACCGCUUGUGCGGGUCCCCGUCAAUUCCUUUGAGUUUUAAGCUUGCGCUCGUACUCCCCAGGCGGCACACUUAACGCGUUAGCUUUUCAGCACAGGGGGUCGAUACCCCAUACUAAUAGUGUGCAUCGUUUACGGCGUGGACUAC